AAAAGAAAAAGGGGUGAAAAGAACAAAGUUUUGUCCAUCUUUGUUCAUCAUAGCCGAAAGUUAGAGAAGAGAAAGGAGAGGAGAAAGCUCUUGAAUGUUCGGUCACUUGGGGAAGAAAAUUGAAGGUAAUCCCCAACCAUAGUGGGCUUGGAGCUGUGAGGGAAUUCGGAGUGGCCACCCGUUCUGAAAGUUUGAUUUUCUUCUAGUGAACUGGAUAUCCUUUUAUUUACGUUUGAGGUUUUGGGUUUUUUUUUUAAAUGUAAUAAGGCCGCUUAAUUA